AUUCUUCGUUUUUUUAACUGAGAAAACACAAGGAAAAUCUAUUGACGCAAGAAAACCACACUUCACUUGAGGAUUUAAGAAAAAGCUUCUUGAAGUCUUAUUUUCUCUCAUUUUCCACUAUUUCCUUAGGACUAAACGAGAAGCAAUUAUAAAGAAUGUAGAAAAGAAAAAUCAAUUAAGUCAUAUCCUGAGCCACAUUGAGCUUCGAAUUCACCUCCAG
rnacentral:misc_RNA from 1 species